CAGAGUAGAGCCCGCUUCGUUAAGUGCCGCCAAAAUGGGGAGUUGUCUGGCGGACGAAGGCGCAUGCCGCGGUUGCGGGCUCGCACCCGCUG
rnacentral:ncRNA from 1 species